UAUACUAUAAAAACUGUGAAAAAGUUCUAUUCCUUAGUAUCCGUACAUGUGGUAAAUGGUAAACCAGACGAAUUAAAUGUGUUUAUUUAUUUAGAUAAAAAUAUUAGGUACGUAAUGAUAAAAAUAUCUAUUAUUGUUAUAUAGCAUUUGUUAAACUGUCGUCUGUUUUGUCAAAUAUUUAUGAAUUUACAGUGGUUACCAGAUAAUAUAAGAGAGUAUUUCAACUUUUAUGUUGAACUUUUAUGCUCUAUUGUCAAUGUCAUCGCAGAAUCGGGCCGUGUAAAUUUUUCUCCUUUUUCCAAAAUGUUGUAAAAUACUCUACGUGUACGACUAUUUAUCAUUUUGUAAUCUUUCUCCGUAGUUGGAGUCGUAGUUUGUUUUAGAGAAUUAUUUACAGUUUUCAGAAAAUUUUUAGGGCAGCAGAAUAUGACAGUUUGAAGAUCACAAUCGAGAUUCACAAUUUAUACCUAAACAUACUACAUCAUUAUUGGAUGAUUUGGGAAUUCAAAUGUCAUGUGGGAACGUAGGAGAAUUUUCAUUUAUUCAAUAGUGUUGUUUUGAUUUUUAUUGUUUUAUUUUAGAAUAAACAAUAUUAAGGGAAAAUUUGUAGAAGCGGACGCUUGUUGAGACGUUUUUAUUAAUGCAGUAAUACAUUCAUUCUUAUAGCAUAUAAGAGACAAGACAGAGUGGGACUAAGUUCUGCGCAACAUUUUGGAUACAACGUGGAGUCGAGCAGACUGUAAUACUGACGUGCAAGGAAUUUAAGGUUUUGUUUACAAAAAAUAUAAAAAAAUCUUCAAAGUUGUCUGUUUUAAAGUUGCUUAUUAAUUUUUAAAUAAUUUUAUGAAAAUCAUAUUGUUAAAAUAUUCUUUGUAAUAUAAAUAUGUAUAUAACAUAGUAUUUUUUUUAAAAUAAUGAA